UAAUACGUAGGGUGCGAGCGUUAAUCGGAAUUACUGGGCGUAAAGCGUGCGCAGGCGGUUAGAUAAGUUUGAUGUGAAAUCCCCGGGCUCAACCUGGGAACUGCAUUGAAGACUGUCUGACUAGAGUACGGCAGAGGGGGGUGGAAUUCCACGUGUAGCAGUGAAAUGCGUAGAGAUGUGGAGGAACACCGAUGGCGAAGGCAGCCCCCUGGGUCGAUACUGACGCUCAUGCACGAAAGCGUGGGGAGCAAACAGG
rnacentral:rRNA from 1 species